CUCAAUGAAAUUUAAAUAGCCGCAAUAUAUAUUGUGCUAAGGUAGCAUAAUCAUUUGUCUUUUAAUUAAAGACUCGUAUAAAAGAUUUAACAUUUUUAUUUCUUUCUCAAUUAUAUCUAUUUAAUUUAUCUUAAAUAUUAAAAGAUAUUUAUAAUAAAAAAAGACGACAAGACCCUAUUGAAUUUAACUAAAGUUCAACUGGGGCAGUUAAUUAAAUAUAAUUUUAAUUUAAAUUUUAAUAACACCUAAUAUAAUUAAAUAUAUCAAAUUACCAUAGGGAUAACAGCGUAAUAAUUUUUCAUAGCUCUUAUUUAAAAAACAAUUUACGACCUCGAUGUUGAAUUAAUAAUCUUUUAAAUGCAAUAAUUAAUAAGAAAGUC
rnacentral:rRNA from 1 species